rnacentral:rRNA from 1 species
AUUCCAGCUCCAAUAGCGUAUAUUAAAGUUGUUGCAGUUAAAAAGCUCGUAGUUGGAUUUCUGGUGGGAGCGAUCGGUCUGGCGCUUAGCGCGAGUACUUGCAUCGUCUCCGGCCAUCCUUGGGGAGAGUUUGUCUGGCAUUAAGUUGUCGGGCAGAGGAUCCUCAUCGUUUACUGUGAAAAAAUUAGAGUGUUUAAAGCAGGCAUUUUGCUGUGAAUACAUUAGCAUGGAAUAAUAACAUAGGACUUUGGUUCUAUUUUGUUGGUUGGAGGCCAAGGUAAUGAUUAAUAGGGAUAGUUGGGGGCGUUUAUAUUCCGUUGUCAGAGGUGAAAUUCUUGGAUUUACGGAAGAUAAACUACUGCGAAAGCAUUCGCCAAGGAUGUUUUCAUUA